rnacentral:rRNA from 1 species
UCCAGAGGAAGGCUCGUCCGCUCUGGGUUAGUCGGGUCCUAAGCUGAGGCCGACAGGCGUAGGCGAUGGAUAACAGGUUGAUAUUCCUGUACCACCAUUAUUCGUUUUAAGCGAUGGGGGGACGCAGUAGGAUAGGCGAAGCGUGCUGUUGGAGUGCACGUCCAAGCAGUGAGAUUGAGUGUUAGGCAAAUCCGGCACUCUUAAGAUUGAGCUGUGAUGGGGAGAGGAACUUGUUCCUCGAGUCGUUGAUUUCACACUGCCGAGAAAAGCCUCUAGCUAGAAUAACGGUGCCCGUACCGCAAACCGACACAGGUAGUCAAGAUGAGAAUUCUAAGGUGAGCGAGCGAACUCUCGUUAAGGAACUCGGCAAAAUGACCCCGUAACUUCGGGAGAAGGGGUGCUCUUUGAGGUUCACGCUUCGAAGAGCCGCAGUGAAUAGGCCCAAGCGACUGUUUAUCAAAAACACAGGUCUCUGCUAAACCGUAAGGUGACGUAUAGGGGCUGACGCCUGCCCGGUGCUGGAAGGUUAAGAGGAGUGGUUAGCGCAAGCGAAGCUACGAAUCGAAGCCCCAGUAAACGGCGGCCGUAACUAUAACGGUCCUAAGGUAGCGAAAUUCCUUGUCGGGUAAGUUCCGACCCGCACGAAAGGCGUAACGAUUUGGGCACUGUCUCAACGAGAGACUCGGUGAAAUCAUAGUACCGGUGAAGAUGCCGGUUACCCGCGACAGGACGGAAAGACCCCGUGGAGCUUUACUGUAGCCUGAUAUUGAAAUUCGGUACAGUUUGUACAGGAUAGGUAGGAGCCUUAGAAGCGUGAGCGCUAGCUUACGUGGAGGCAUUGGUGGGAUACUACCCUAAUUGUAUUGGAUUUCUAACCCGCAGCACUUAUCGUGCUGGGAGACAGUGUCAGGCGGGCAGUUUGACUGGGGCGGUCGCCUCCUAAAGAGUAACGGAGGCGCUCAAAGGUUCCCUCAGAAUGGUUGGAAAUCAUUCAUAGAGUGUAAAGGCAUAAGGGAGCUUGACUGCGAGACCUACAAGUCGAGCAGGGUCGAAAGACGGACUUAGUGAUCCGGUGGUUCCGCAUGGAAGGGCCAUCGCUCAACGGAUAAAAGCUACCCCGGGGAUAACAGGCUUAUCUCCCCCAAGAGUUCACAUCGACGGGGAGGUUUGGCACCUCGAUGUCGGCUCAUCGCAUCCUGGGGCUGUAGUCGGUCCCAAGGGUUGGGCUGUUCGCCCAUUAAAGCGGUACGCGAGCUGGGUUCAGAACGUCGUGAGACAGUUCGGUCCCUAUCCGUCGUGGGCGUAGGAAAUUUGAGAGGAGCUGUCCUUAGUACGAGAGGACCGGGAUGGACAUACCUCUGGUGUACCAGUUGUCGUGCCAACGGCAUAGCUGGGUAGCUAUGUAUGGACGGGAUAAGUGCUGAAAGCAUCUAAGCAUGAAGCCCCCCUCGAGAUGAGAUUUCCCAACUUCGGUUAUAAGAUCCCUCAAAGAUGAUGAGGUGAAUAGGUUCGAGGUGGAAGCGUAGCGAUACGUGGAGCUGACGAAUACUA